UUAAGCGACUAAGCGUACACGGUGGAUGCCCUGGCAGUCAGAGGCGAUGAAGGACGUGCUAAUCUGCGAUAAGCGUCGGUAAGGUGAUAUGAACCGUUAUAACCGGCGAUUUCCGAAUGGGGAAACCCAGUGUGUUUCGACACACUAUCAUUAACUGAAUCCAUAGGUUAAUGAGGCGAACCGGGGGAACUGAAACAUCUAAGUACCCCGAGGAAAAGAAAUCAACCGAGAUUCCCCCAGUAGCGGCGAGCGAACGGGGAGCAGCCCAGAGCCUGAAUCAGUGUGUGUGUUAGUGGAAGCGUCUGGAAAGGUGCGCGAUACAGGGUGACAGCCCCGUACACAAAAAUGCACAUGCUGUGAGCUCGAUGAGUAGGGCGGGACACGUGGUAUCCUGUCUGAAUAUGGGGGGACCAUCCUCCAAGGCUAAAUACUCCUGACUGACCGAUAGUGAACCAGUACCGUGAGGGAAAGGCGAAAAGAACCCCGGCGAGGGGAGUGAAAAAGAACCUGAAACCGUGUACGUACAAGCAGUGGGAGCACGCUUCGGCGUGUGACUGCGUACCUUUUGUAUAAUGGGUCAGCGACUUAUAUUCUGUAGCAAGGUUAACCGAAUAGGGGAGCCGAAGGGAAACCGAGUCUUAACUGGGCGUUAAGUU
rnacentral:rRNA from 1 species